rnacentral:rRNA from 1 species
UACGUAGGGUGCAAGCGUUGUCCGGAAUUAUUGGGCGUAAAGAGCUCGUAGGCGGUCUGUCGCGUCUGCUGUGAAAACCUAGGGCUUACUCUGGGCGUGCAGUGGGUACGGGCAGGCUAGAGUGCGGUAGGGGAGACUGGAAUUCCUGGUGUAGCGGUGAAAUGCGCAGAUAUCAGGAGGAACACCGGUGGCGAAGGCGGGUCUCUGGGCCGUAACUGACGCUGAGGAGCGAAAGCAUGGGGAGCGAACAGG